rnacentral:rRNA from 1 species
UUGAACAUCCAGUCCCACCUUGGAAAUUACUGACCUCAUCUGAUUUUGGAAGCUAAGCAGAGGUGGGUCUGGUUAGUACUUUGGAUGGGAUGGGAGACCGUUUGGAGGGAAUGCCAGGUGCUGUAAC